rnacentral:rRNA from 1 species
ACGGGUGAGUAACACGUAGGUAACCUGCCCAUAAGACUGGGAUAACUACCGGAAACGGUAGCUAAUACCGGAUAGGUUCUUCUCUCGCAUGGGAGGAGAAAGAAAGACGGAGCAAUCUGUCACUUAUGGAUGGACCUGCGGCGCAUUAGCUAGUUGGUGAGGUAACGGCUCACCAAGGCGACGAUGCGUAGCCGACCUGAGAGGGUGAUCGGCCACACUGGGACUGAGACACGGCCCAGACUCCUACGGGGGGCAGCAGUAGGGAAUCUUCCGCAAUGGGCGAAAGCCUGACGGAGCAACGCCGCGUGAGUGAUGAAGGUUUUCGGAUCGUAAAGCUCUGUUGCCAGGGAAGAACGUCUCUUAGAGUAACUGCUAAGAGAGUGACGGUACCUGAGAAGAAAGCCCCGGCUAACUACGUGCCAGCAGCCGCGGUAAUACGUAGGGGGCAAGCGUUGUCCGGAAUUAUUGGGCGUAAAGCGCGCGCAGGCGGUCAUUUAAGUUGGGUGUUUAACCCCAGGGCUCAACCCUGGGUCGCACCCAAAACUGGAUGACUUGAGUGCAGAAGAGGAGAGUGGAAUUC